rnacentral:snRNA from 1 species
GUGCUCGCUUUGGCAGCACAUAGACUAAAAUUGGAACAAUACAGAGAAAAUUAGCGUGGCCCCUGCGCAAGGAAGACAUGCAAGUUCGUGAAGCNUUCCAUAUUUUA